rnacentral:rRNA from 1 species
AGCUCGUGUCGUGAGAUGUUCGGUUAAGUCCGCUAACGAGCGCAACCCUUGCCAUUAGUUGCUACGAAAGGGCACUCUAAUGGGACUGCGGUGUUAAGCCGGAGAAGGUGGGGAUGACGUCAAGUCCUCAUGGCCUUUAUGCCCAGGGCUACACACGUGCUACAAUGGGCGGUACAAAGAGAAGCAACCUCGCGAGGGUGAGCAAAUCUCAAAAAGCCGUUCUCAGUUCGGAUUGAAGUCUGCAACUCGACUUCAUGAAGUCGGAAUCGCUAGUAAUCGCGGAUCAGCAUGCCGCGGUGAAUACGUUCCCGGGCCUU